UUGGUCGAUGGACGUGAGUGUGAACCAGCCAAGUAGCGUGCAGGAUGACGGCCCUAUGGGUGUGUAAACUGCUUUUGUAUGGGGAUAAAGUCAGUCACGUGUGAUUGUUUGCAGGUACCAUACGAAUAAGGACCGGCUAAUUCCGUGCCAGCAGCCGCGGUAAUACGGAAGGUCCAGGCGUUAUCCGGAUUUAUUGGGUUUAAAGGGAGCGUAGGCCGGAGAUUAAGUGUGUUGUGAAAUGUAGACGCUCAACGUCUGACUUGCAGCGCAUACUGGUUUCCUUGAGUACGCACAACGUUGGCGGAAUUCGUCGUGUAGCGGUGAAAUGCUUAGAUAUGACGAAGAACUCCGAUUGCGAAGGCAGCUGACGGGAGCGCAACUGACGCUUAAGCUCGAAGGUGCGGGUAUCAAACAGGAUUAGAUACCCUGGUAGUCCGCACAGUAAACGAUGGAUGCCCGCUGUUGGUACCUGGUAUCAGCGGCUAAGCGAAAGCAUUAAGCAUCCCACCUGGGGAGUACGCCGGCAACGGUGAA
rnacentral:rRNA from 1 species